rnacentral:rRNA from 1 species
AUCAGGUAGGACUACCCGCUGAACUUAAGCAUAUCAAUAAGCGGAGGAAAAGAAACUAACAAGGAUUCCCCUAGUAACGGCGAGUGAAGCGGGAAGAGCUCAAAUUUGAAAUCUGGUGGCCUCAGGCUAUCCGAGUUGUAAUCUAUAGAAACAUUUUCCGCGUUGGCCCAUGUACAAGUCUCUUGGAAUAGAGCGUCAUAGAGGGUGAGAAUCCCGUCCUUGACAUGGACUACCAGUGCUUUGUGAUAUGUUUUCAACGAGUCGAGUUGUUUGGGAAUGCAGCUCAAAAUGGGUGGUAAAUUCCAUCUAAAGCUAAAUAUUGGCGAGAGACCGAUAGCGAACAAGUACCGUGAGGGAAAGAUGAAAAGCACUUUGGAAAGAGAGUUAAACAGUAUGUGAAAUUGUUGAAAGGGAAACGAUUGAAGUCAGUCGUGUCUAUUGGACUCAGCCGGUUCUGCCGGUGUACUUCCUUUAGAUGGGGUCAACAUCAGUUUUGAUCGCUGGAAAAGGGCAGGAGGAAUGUAGCACUCUCGGGUGAACUUAUAGCCUUCUGUCGCAUACAGUGGUUGGGACUGAGGAACGCAGCUUGCCUUUAUGGCCGGGAUUU